rnacentral:misc_RNA from 1 species
GAUGAAGAACGCAUCGAAAUGCGAUAAGUAAUGUGAAUUGCAGAAUUCAGUGAAUCAUCGAAUCUUUGAACGCACAUUGCGCCCCUUGGUAUUCCGGGGGGCAUGCCUGUUCGAGCGUCAUUAUCACCCCUCAAGCUCAGCUUGGUGUUGGGGCCUGCCGUCAAGGCAGCCCUUAAAAUCAGUGGCGGCGCCAUCUGGCUCUAAGCGUAGUAAUACUUCUCGCUACAGGGUCCAGGUGGUGUCUUGCCAGAACCCCUCAUUUUUUAUGAUUGACCUCGGAUCAGGUAGGGAUACCCGCUGAACUUAAGCAUACAAUAAGCGGAGGA